GCGCAGGUGGCAGAGUGGUCAAAUGCAACGGUCUGUAAAACCGUCGCCCUAAGUGGCUACGGGGGUUCGAAUCCCUCCCUGCGCA
rnacentral:tRNA from 1 species